rnacentral:rRNA from 1 species
AUACGUAGGGUGCAAGCGUUAAUCGGAAUUACUGGGCGUAAAGCGUGCGCAGGCGGUUUUGUAAGACAGAGGUGAAAUUCCCGGGCUCAACCUGGGAACUGCCUUUGUGACUGCAAGGCUAGAGUACGGCCGAGGGGGAUGGAAUUCCGCGUGUAGCAGUGAAAUGCGUAGAUAUGCGGAGGAACACCGAUGGCGAAGGCAAUCCCCUGGUCCUGUACUGACGCGCAUGCACGAAAGCGUGGGGAGCAAACAGGAUUAGAUACCCUGGUAGUCCACGCCCGAAACGAUGUCAACUGGUUGUUGGGUCUUCAUUGACUCAGUAACGAAACUAACGCGUGAAGUGGACCGCCUGGGGAGUACGGCCGCAAGGUUGAAACUCAAAUGAAUUGACGGUG